rnacentral:rRNA from 1 species
ACGUUACCCACAGAAGAAGCACCGGCUAACUCUGUGCCAGCAGCCGCGGUAAUACAGAGGGUGCAAGCGUUAAUCGGAAUUACUGGGCGUAAAGGGUGCGUAGGUGGUUUUUUAAGUCAGAUGUGAAAUCCCUGGGCUCAACCUAGGAAUUGCAUUUGAUACUGAAUAACUUGAGUAUGGUAGAGGGAAGUGGAAUUUCCAGUGUAGCGGUGAAAUGCGUAGAUAUUGGAAGGAACAUCAGUGGCGAAGGCGACUUCCUGGACCAUUACUGACACUGAGGCACGAAAGCGUGGGGAGCGAACAGGAUUAGAUACCCUGGUAGUCCGCGCCGUAAACGAUGAGAACUAGAUGUUAGGGGGCUUAGACCUCUUAGUAUCGCAGCAAACGCGUUAAGUUCUCCGCCUGGGGAGUACGGCCGCAAGGUUAAAACUCAAAUGAAUUGACGGGGGCCCGCACAAGCGGUGGAGCAUGUGGUUUAAUUCGAUGCAACGCGAAGAACCUUACCUACCUUUGAAUCCACGGAAUCUUGCAGAAAUGUGAGAGUGCCUUC